rnacentral:rRNA from 1 species
AUUGAACGCUGGCGGAAUGCUUUACACAUGCCAGUCGAACGGCAGCACGGGGGCAGCCCUGGUGGCGAGUGGCGAACGGGUGAGUAAUACAUCGGAACGUGCCCGGUCGUGGGGGAUAACGUAGCGAAAGUUACGCUAAUACCGCGUACGAUCUGAGGAUGAAAGCGGGGGACCUUCGGGCCUCGCGCGAUCGGAGCGGCCGAUGUCAGAUUAGGUAGUUGGUGGGGUAAAGGCCUACCAAGCCGACGAUCUGUAGCUGGUCUGAGAGGACGACCAGCCACACUGGGACUGAGACACGGCCCAGACUCCUACGGGAGGCAGCAGUGGGGAAUUUUGGACAAUGGGCGCAAGCCUGAUCCAGCCAUUCCGCGUGCAGGACGAAGGCCUUCGGGUUGUAAACUGCUUUUGUACGGAACGAAAAGGCUCUGGCUAAUACCUGGGGCUCAUGACGGUACCGUAAGAAUAAGCACCGGCUAACUACGUG